AGGUGCGAUCAUACCAGCACUAAUGCACCGGAUCCCAUUAGAACUCCGUAGUUAAGCACGCUUGGGCGAGAGUUGUACUAGGAUUGGUGACCUUCUAGGAAGUCCUCGUGUUGCACCUC
rfam:Lupinus angustifolius cultivar Tanjil chromosome LG09, whole genome shotgun sequence.